UACAGAGGGUGCGAGCGUUAAUCGGAAUUACUGGGCGUAAAGCGCGCGUAGGCGGCUUUGCAAGUCGGGGUGUGAAAUCCCCAGGCUUAACCUGGGAACUGCAUUCGAGACUGCAUUGCUAGAGUAUGGGAGAGGGAAGUGGAAUUUCCGGUGUAGCGGUGAAAUGUGUAGAUAUCGGAAGGAACAUCAGUGGCGAAAGCGACUUCCUGGACCAAUACUGACGCUCAUGUGCGAAAGCGUGGGAGCAAACAGG
rnacentral:rRNA from 1 species